ensembl:lncRNA
GCAGGAUUGUAAAAGUCCUGAAGACUUUGGCCCAUUUUAAAAACAAGCGUGUGGUGUGGUCAAAAGGCAAAAAAAGCUAAGUGUGACAACUGUCAAGACAGCCUGUUAGUAUGCAGUUUGCUGAGGCUUUUGAUAGAGAUCUUGAUUGUAUUAAGGCUCAGUUUCACCGAAUGCUUCUUCUGUGUCUGAGAUGGUACUAUUGUGUUUCUUCUUUCUUCUUAAUUACAUCAGUCUUUUUCCUAAUCUACUGAGUUAUUUUUGACCUAAAGGGGUGGCAGAGUGAGGUCACUAAGGGAACAGUUGGAUCUUGGGUUCUGUCACCUACCAGCUGCCUGGCAUCCGACAAGUUUCUUGACCUCUCUGUGCUUCAUGACUAGUUUCAGUGGUGACCUGCUUUAAUCUCCGUGAGGUCCUUACAACGGGGCCCUGAACGUUCUGCGGCGUGCCCCUUUCCCCCUUUUCCCAUUUGCACGAGUUUUCUGAGGGUAAAAGUCAUCGUAUCCUGAAGCAUCACUAGGACUUACCGUAAGGCCAUCUGGAGCUGGGGCCUCUGCUAAUGGACAAUUUCCUCGCAGUAUACAGAACUCAGAGCCAUGAAGGACACAUGGUCGGGGGCGCCGCUGUUGCAACGGUCAUGACGCCAUAGCCAGUAUUUAUGGCUUCCUUCCUCCUUCCUGAAUCCCACGUUCCCUCUGCCUCCAGCCAGUACUGCAGCUGCUCAGGAGACUUUACCAGGUUUUCUCCACUCGAGGAGGAAGAUGACAGAGGAAAAGGCUUCCAGUUGCUAUGGCUGGGUCACCUCUCUGCAGAGGAGAUUGAAAAC